rnacentral:tRNA from 1 species
GGAGGGGUCGCAUAGUGGCCGAGUGCGCACGCUUGGAAAGCGUGUAUCCCCGAUAAGGGGAUCGUGGGUUCGAAUCCCACCCCCUCCG